rnacentral:rRNA from 1 species
GAUCAUGGCUCAGGAUGAACGCUAGCUACAGGCUUAACACAUGCAAGUCGAGGGGCAUCAGGGUGUAGCAAUACACCGCUGGCGACCGGCGCACGGGUGAGUAACACGUAUCCAACCUGCCCUUUACUCGGGGAUAGCCUUUCGUAAAGAAAGAUUAAUACCGAUGGUAUAACAUGACCUCCUGGUUUUGUUUAUUAAAGAAUUUCGGUUAGAGGAUGGGGAGUGCGUUCCAUUAGGCAGUUGGCGGGGUAACGGG